CUUCUUCUCCAGUUUUCAUUUUUAUGUGUUGGCAACAAUCCUCAGACUGGUACAGUAGUAUGCACCUGUAAUCACAGGAGUCAAAGGCUAACGCAAGAUCAAAAGUUCAUGGCCUCCCGGGACACAUAGUGAGAACUUUUCUCAAAAUUUAAGUGACAAUAUUUAAUCCUCCACACUCCUUCCAUUUCUGUCUCAUUUGGAGAUGAUGUGAUCACAACCAGGGAUCCACAACUCUGAAGUUGGCAGAUACUUAACCUACCUGUGGAAAUGAAUUCUCACUGUGGACCCAUUAAAAACUGUCUUGUGAUCCAUUUGUCAUUCUCUGUAUAGUGGCUUCAGUGGUAAAUCUGGAAUUCCUCUCAUGUUUAUUAUGCAAACUCACAAUAUUUACAAGGUAUUAAACACUGUUAGAUUUUUAAUGUACUGAGCAGUUUAAGGUUUUUUGUUUUGUUCUGUUUUAUUUUUUGACAAAUCAAAGGUAUGAUUCUGAAGUGAAACCAUGUUUUUCUUGAAGUUUUACUUUUAUUAUUAGUGCCCAAAGAACUUUGCAAAAUACUGAUUUUCAAUGCAUAUAUUUUGAUCAUAUUCUUCCUCUUAUAACUCUACCUUACACCUUAUAUCCAUGUGAGUGUUAACAUUUGGUGUCACUGAGCAGUAAAAUAAUAUGCCAUUCUUCACCUAGUUUCAUUGUCCUUAUACAUCCUCCAAUAAAACCGGUUUUCCACUAGCAUUUUCAAUUAUUACUCAUAAAUCUUAGUUAAUGUUAAUUGAAUUUUUUCUAUGAAAGCAGAUUCAACUUUAAAAGUGCUAUUAAUGUACUACUAGAAAAAAAGGACUCAAUUUCAUAACUAAUAAUAUUUGGAAAAAGAUAUUUCCUAUGGUUAUUGAAGCAGUUGAUUAAUAUUCACCUACCUUCGUGUUCUGUGGUUGGUGAUCUUGUAGGUUCCCUCUAUGAGCUGUGCACUAGGGACAGUGCAAAAAUACAACUGCUAGGUCAGCAGGAAAAGUAGUAUUCUUAUUCUACUAUUGCUUUAGCAAUGAAUUAUCUAGCAUCAGAACUGCUGUGAGAGAAGGUGUGCAUAUAGAUGGAGGGUAAGAGUUUGAUGACUAAGACAUGAAGUUAAUAUUCGAAUGAUUCAUGCUAGAUGUGCUGUUGCAUAACUGUAGCCCUAGGGCUUGGGAGGCUGAGGCAGGUGGAUUGCCAUGAGUUUGAGCCCUGCCUGGGCUGCCUACUGAGUCCAAGGCCAGC